AACACAUCUCCCGAGAAUCCCAGUUCACCUCAUCCUCUUGGUUAAGCCUGAGACGGUUGUGAUUCGUCCGUUUGAAUCUCUACACGCGAUCUUCCUUCGUUCGGCACCCAUCCGCCCGCAAAUCACGCCGCCUGGACGUCGUCCGCUCAGCUCCCCAUCACCCAUCCCCUCGCAACCCCGCCGCCUGCCCCCGACGCCGCCUUCCCCUCGCGACGCGGCGUCCCGGCUGGCGGCGCCGCAGAUCCACCUCCCUGUGCCCGCGUCGCCCUCGCGACUCGUCUCGUUGCGGCAUGCGGCGUGCGUGACGGCAGCCGCGGCGUGCGGCGUGCGUGACGGCGGCUGCAGGGGCACGCGCAGGACUGUGCGCGCACGGCGUCCCGCCCGGCGGCGCACAGCGCGGCGUCCCGGCCGCUCGGCGUCCAGGCGGCCAGCGCCCCCGACGCCGCCUUCCCCUUGCGACCCCGCCGCCGCACCUCCCCCGGCACCAUGGCUAGAUCUCCGCUGCACCCGCCGGCCUCCGGACUCCCCAGCCCGUCGCCAUCGACGUCGCAGCCAGAACUCUGCGAGCGGCCAGCUCUGCCUCCCCCUCACUUGUCGACGGUGGUCGCUAGCUCUCCGCGCGAGUUUGGUGUCCACCGCGCCAGCGCUCCGCCAUCGACGCGCUGCGGGUAGAUCUUCGUGCGCGCAUGAGGUAGCGUAGGGCCUCCAACCUCCCCCGCAUGUCGCUGCCGACGCUGCAGACGGAACUCCGCGCUCACGGACGCCUCCACGCAAUGCUAGCAGAGCCGCCAUGUGGGCUUGUAGCACAUGGCUACAGUGGCGCGGCCGCAUGGGUGCUUGAGCAAUCAACGGUGGCCGACGGAACCUUCAUCCUAGGGACGAGUGAUCAAGUAGGGGUUCAAGUGAACAAGAACAUGGUGAUUGAGACAAACAUUACUAUGAUCGAAGGCCCCAGUCAUCGUCGAAAGCCGCGGAGACGGCCGGACGGGGAUCGGCAAGGGGCGGCUGCGACGUGGGCCUAGAGGUGAAGGUGUCGCCAAAAUCGAAGUUGUCAUCGAGGAAGGGCAGGGGGCGGCGGGAACGCGACGGCAUCCAUUACGCGGCAGAGCGCGCGUGUUGGUCGGCGGCUGGAAAGGGAGGGAAUAAUGCGACGCAUUGUUUUCAAUUGAUGAGAAAGUGAUGCCCAAGUGAGUUCCUGACAUUGCUUACAGCUUAUCUGACCAACUGAUGUAUAAUGCAUGUUUUCAAUUGCCUAUUUGCAUCCCUGCUUAGCUGGACACUACCAGUAAAAUAGAAACUAAGAGUUUGACAGUAAAAUAUUUAGAGCCAUAUCUUUUUCUAUGAUUUUUCUUUUCUUGACUUUAUCCAGUAUGUGUAGCCAGCACUGUUUACUGAAACAAAUUACAUUUAGAGUUUCAUCAUUCGGUUCUCUGCAAUUCUGAUAUACCAUUUACACUCAUAUGUAUUUCCUUGCCAUGUUACGUUAUGGAGAGGAGAUUGUUUUGCCUUGAUCAAAGCUUUGAUGACGGAGACUGAAAUUCAUAGUGUUCUGAAGUUACCAGAUAUUUGUGCAAAUGAAGGGGUUGACUCCUCCAGAAAAAUAAACUACAAAAUGAGUCUUAUGAUGGAGUAAACACAAAGCUUCAUGCGUCCAAAGAUAGUGAUGAUGCCCCAAGUGAGAAGAAUGUGCGUUCCAAAGGGCUUAAUGGUAUUACUUCAGCCAUGGUUGCUGAGCAAAUAAUGGAUAAUUCCUUGAGGAUUGCUGAUGCAAGUUCAGGUGGACCAAGCAAUCUUGGCAAAGACUUGGCUACGGUUCAACCAACAGCUGAUGGACAAUGCAAUCUUCAGUCGUGGAACAAAAUGCUCUCACAAA